UACGAAGGGGGCUAGCGUUGCUCGGAAUUACUGGGCGUAAAGGGCGCGUAGGCGGGUCGUUAAGUUAGAGGUGAAAUCUCCGGGCUUAACCCGGAAACUGCCAUUGAUACUAUCUGUCUUGAAUACCGUGGAGGUGAGCGGAAUAUGUCAUGUAGCGGUGAAAUGCUUAGAUAUGACAUAGAACACCAAUUGCGAAGGCAGCUCACUACACGAAUAUUGACACUGAGGCACGAAAGCGUGGGGAUCAAACAGG
rnacentral:rRNA from 1 species